rnacentral:rRNA from 1 species
UGAGGAGUAUUGGGCAAUGCCCGCAAGGGUGACCCAGCAACGCCGCGUGGAGGAUGAAUGUCGUAAGAUUGUAAACUCCUGUUAGAGGGGAAGAAUAGUACCGGUUGGACCGGUAUAUGACUGUACCCUCAGAGAAAGCCCCGGCUAACUACGUGCCAGCAGCCGCGGUAAUACGUAGGGGGCAAGCGUUGUCCGGAUUUACUGGGUGUAAAGGGCGCGCAGGCGGGAUAAAAAGUCAGUGGUGAAAUCCUACAGCUUAACUGUAGAACUGCCUUUGAUACUUUUAGUCUUGAGUUCGGGAGAGAGAGACGGAAUUCCAGGUGUAGUGGUGAAAUACGUAGAUAUCUGGAAGAACACCAGUUGCGAAGGCGGUCUCUUGGUCCGACACUGACGCUGAGGCGCGAAAGCGUGGGGAGCAAACA